GACGAACGCUGGCGGCGUGCCUAAUACAUGCAAGUCGAACGCAGUGGGGACGGGUGAGUACCACGUGGGUCACCUCCCAUCAGAGGGGAUAACACUUGGAAACAGGUGCUAAACCGAUACUGAUGGAUGGACCCGCGGUGCAUUCGCUAGUUGGUGAGGUAACGGCUCACCUAGGCCACGAUGCAUAUCCGACCUGAGAGGUGUCUCGGCCACACUGGGACUGAGACACGGCCCAGACUCCUACGGGAGGCAGCAGUGGGGAAUCUUCGGCAAUGGGCGAAAGUCUGACCGAGCAACGCCGCGUGAGUGAAGAAGGUUUUCGGAUCGUAAAACGCUGUUGUUAGAGAAGCGGUAUCUAACCAGAAAGCCACGGCUAACUACGUGCCAGCAGCCGCGGUAAUAC
rnacentral:rRNA from 1 species